rnacentral:rRNA from 1 species
AGUGAACGCUGGCGGCAGGCCUAACACAUGCAGGUCGAACGGCAGCACAGUAAGAGCUUGCUCUUACGGGUGGCGAGGGGCGGACGGGUGAGAAAUACAGCGGAAUCUACUUUUUCGUGGGGGAUAACGUAGGGAAACUUACGCUAAUACCGCAUACGACCUACGGGUGAAAGCAGGGGAUCUUCGGACCUUGCGCGACGGAAUGAGCUGAUGUCGGAUUAGCUAGUUGGCGGGGUAAAGGCCGACCAAGGCGACGAUCCGUAGCUGGUCGGAGAGGAUGAUCGGCCGCCAUGGAACUGCUGCGAGGCCGAGCCUCCUACGACAGGCGGCAGUGGUGAAUAUUAGAGCAUGAGCGCAAGCCUGAUGAAGCAGCGCCGCGUGGGGGGAGAAGGCGUUCUGGUUGUAGAGCACUUUUGUCGCGAGAGAAGAGCAGCAGGUUCGUAUGUCGGUGUGUUGACGGUACCCGAAUAAGAAGCGCCGGCUAACUACGUG